rnacentral:rRNA from 1 species
GAUGAACGCUGGCGGCGUGCCUAAUACAUGCAGGUCGAGCGAACGGACGAGAAGCUUGCUUCUCUGAUGUUAGCGGCGGACGGGUGAGUAACACGUGGAUAACCUACCUAUAAGACUGGGAUAAAUUCGGGAAACCGGAGCUAAUACCGGAUGAUAUUUUGAACCGCAUGGUUCAAAAGUGAAAGACGGUCUUGCUGUCACUUAUAGAUGGAUCCGCGCUGCAUUAGCUAGUUGGUAAGGUAACGGCUUACCAAGGCAACGAUGCAUAGCCGACCUGAGAGGGUGAUCGGCCACACUGGAACUGAGACACGGUCCAGACUCCUACGGGAGGCAGCAGUAGGUAAUCUUCCUCAAUGGGCGAAAGCCUGACGGAGCAACGCCGCGUGAGUGAUGAAGGUCUUCGGAUCGUAAAACUCUGUUAUUAGGGAAGAACAUAUGUGUAAGUAACUGUGCACAUCUUGACGGUACCUAAUCAGAAAGCCACGGCUAACUACGUG